AACGAACGCUGGCGGCAUGCCUAACACAUGCAAGUCGAACGAGACCUUCGAGUCUAGUGGCGCACGGGUGCGUAACGCGUGGGAACCUGCACUUAGGUUCGGAAUAACUCCCCGAAAGGGGUGCUAAUACCGGAUAAUGUCUUCGGACCAAAGAUUUAUCGCCUUUGGAUGGGCGCGCGUUGGAUUAGCUAGUUGGUAGGGUAAAAGCCUACCAAGGCGACGAUCCAUAGCUGGUCUGAGAGGAUGAUCAGCCACACUGGGACUGAGACACGGCCCAGACUCCUACGCGAGGGAGCAGUGGGGAAUAUUGGACAAUGGGCGCAAGCCUGAUCCAGCAAUGCGGGGUGAGUGAGGAAGGCCUUAGGGUUGUAAAGCUCUUUUACACGAGGUGAUAAUGACGGUACCGGGAGAAUAAGCUCCGGCUAACUCCGUG
rnacentral:rRNA from 1 species